GGGGUAAGGAGUGUCUAACGGAUACACAGAGUUUCAUUUUGGGAAAAUUAAAAACUUCUGGAGAAGGAUAGCAGUGAUAGUUGUACAAGAACAUGAAGAAAUUUAAUGCCCCUUAAGUGUACACUUACAUAUGGCUAAAAUGGUAAGUCUUGUUAUGUAUAUUUUACAAUAAAAAGUAUUUUUUGUUCCUGUGGAUUUAGUGAUCCCUGUUUGUCAGGGAUGAAAUGAGGUUCUGAGGUCACACCACUGAUCAGAGGUAGAGUCAGGAUUUAAACUGAGUGAUGUGGAUUCAUCACCCCCAUCCUGUGUGAGAGCUUCAGAGAGUUGCUCCCCACCCCCAAUAUUCCCCACACUAGGGAACAAGAUUUAAGUUUCAUCCAGAUACCUCCAGGCCUCUGAGGGGGAAUCUGCUAAAUUCUCAUGUCUUCUUAGCUGCCCAGAUGACCACAAUCACCAAGGGCCCUACCACCACUGUCACCACCACCACAAGGGACAUGAAUAUGGAAACCAUGGUCAAGGUCGCACUGCCCAUUGCUGUGUUCAAAACUGCAAUUUUGGGACUGGUUGUCUACCUCUGGUGGAAGAGAAGCAAAGGAUGAAGUGCAGGAUGACAGCAGCAUCCUCUAUGCCUCCUUCACCCUCUCCAGCUCCUCCCUGCACCCCUCCCAAGGAGAGCCCGCAGGAGACCUUGUACUCUAUCGGAAAGGCCCAGUGAGCAGGACUGAAUGGGGACUCCCUGAGACUAAGCUGCACAGAAGGUCACAGCUUCUAGUAAUAACCCUGGCCAGACACAGACAAAAGCCAGUGGGUGUGGAAGGCCACCAAGGACCAGAGAGAAACAGAGCCAUCUGCUUCCAUUCCCUCUUCAACUGCCCAGCCCUUGCCCACAAAAAUAAAAGUACUAGUAGAAUUUGCCUGAAGGCACCUAAGGAGAAACUGAUGGCAUCUUCUGUCUUUUCCUUCUCGCCAAAAAUGAGCUGUAAAAGUAGCUCACACCCAAGAUCCCUCCUCCAGGGCUGGUGUUCAGUGACUGCCUUCAGGCCAGGUGGGGGACACCAAACACUGGCAGCCAGCCCAGAGCCCAGACUCUGCCCCCUUAUCUAACCAUUCUACUUCUGCUACCAUAACAUGUACCGCGUUAAGUGCAUCACUCAUGUAAGCAUCACCAGCAACCUUAUACAGUCCUGGAUGCACUCACCGGAGGCGUGAAGAGAAGACCCAGAAUGGUUAGUGCUUUUCUCAAGGCCACACACCUAGUAAGUGGCUGAGCCAGGUCUGAACCCAGACCUGCCCUUCUCGACGGCCUCCUCCCAGGACUUGGGUCUCACUGCCUUCCCAGAUC
rnacentral:lncRNA from 1 species